GUUUUGUGUUAAAAGGGGUCUUUUUUCUCCUCUCUUCGCUUUCAUCCGGAAUUCAUUUCCAGUCUCUCUGAGAACCAACCCCUGUGUUCCAGGAAAUGUUUCCGAAUUCCUGAGCUAAAAAAAAAAACAUUUGAAAACCUCAUUUGAAUUUUUAAACAGCUUUGCCUGCCCCAAAUGGUUUUUGCCAAAUGAAAGAGCUGCACCUGAAAAGUUUUUCCCAGCUCCAGGGGAGAGCUGGAUCUGCAUGUGGAAGCAGCUGGAAUGCUGAGGGAGAACAGGGAAAGAGGAACAGCACAAUGGGAGGGAAGGAUGUGGUUUGCUAUCAGUGAAACCUCCAACUUCACUUUUACAGCAUAAAUACAGCACAACAGGCCUUUGGGAUCAGCAAAAUGAGGAAUAGGAACACGAGGUUGGAAUAGGAACACGAGGCUGGAAUAGGAACACGAGGCUGGAAUAGGAACACGAGGCUGGAAUAGGAACAUGAGGUUGGAAUACAGGGAUUGCUGUCACCAGGAUCCUGAUUUCCUCUGCUCUGCUCAAGGCUGGGAUUAAAUCAGGAUUUAUUCCAGACCUCCAAUGCCGUGGUCAUUCCUUGGUUAUCUUGGGAAACCAGAUAAGGUUUCCAGGAAAAGGGAAGGACUUCAAACUGAAGGGCAGGCCGGGAGCUUUGUGCUCCCAGGAAAUCCUGGAAAACUCCGUGUCCAAGGCUCUGCUUCCCAAGGUGCUGUUUAUUUUUGUGGGCUAUUGAUUUGCUGCCAGGAUGAAGUGGAUUUAAUUUUAACUGAUAGUCCAGUGGUUCAUUGUGGUUUUAAAUUCUUGGUGAGGCUCGUGUUUGCAGGGCCUGGGGAGGGAGGGGAUUCCUCACAAACACCACUGAGCAGGGAAAGUGAAAUAUUUCCCUGUGCGAUCCCUGCACUGCUGCAGCCUAAAGGAGCCUGGGGAAAUAACUCAGAUAUGGAUAAAUGGAGACAUAAAUCCUGCUGUAAAUAGGGAAUAGCACAGGGACAGGUGGAUUUCUCACCUUUUCAGCUCCUUUUGUCUGGCCCUGCAGGCCAGAAGCAGCACAGGACCCCAGAAGGGUUUGGGUGGGAAGGAACCUGCAAACAUCUCAUCCCACCUUCCACCAGAGGCUGGGAAUGUUCCAGAAGAUCUGGACACGAUCCUGUGCCAGCUGGACCCACUGGGGUCUCCUCCAAGCUGAUCCAGUCUGGGAUCUGCUGGUUCUGCUCUGG
rnacentral:lncRNA from 1 species